AAAAGAAAGAGGUUAAGCAAAUAUCUGCAUACACAAUGAGAAAUAAAUAAAGGCUUAUGUAUGUUAAUCUUCAAAGAUGACAUUACAGAAUAGUGGUUGAUGGAAUUGUUCAUCUUUGGUAGUUUCUUCUGUUAGAAGCUCAUGAAAUGGCUAGUUUAGUUACCAUGGAUGGUUUCUUUCAGUGGUGAAUAUAGUGCAGCGUCAGGACAAGCUAACCUGCUGCACUUGUUCCAGCAUUUUAGAGAAUGCUACAGUGAUGGUUUUUACAUGCAUGAUGGUAAUAAGAAUGGUUGUUAUUUAGUCUUAUGUUGAAAUAUGCAUGCGGGAUUAGUGGCAUACUGAGUGUCCUAUAUAUUAAUAUUUGGCGUGCUUUCUUCUUUUUACUGGUUUUGCAGGAAGUAUUG
rnacentral:misc_RNA from 1 species